rnacentral:rRNA from 1 species
AUACGGAGGAUGCGAGCGUUAUCCGGAUUUAUCGGGUUUAAAGGGAGCGUAGGUGGGAUAUUAAGUCAGCUGUGAAAGUUUGGGGCUCAACCUUAAAAUUGCAGUUGAUACUGGUUUCCUUGAGUACGGUACAGGUGGGCGGAAUUCGUGGUGUAGCGGUGAAAUGCUUAGAUAUCACGAAGAACUCCGAUCGCGAAGGCAGCUCACCGGGCCGGAACUGACACUGAUGCUCGAAAGUGCGGGUAUCAAACAGGAUUAGAUACCCUGGUAGUCCGCACAGUAAACGAUGAAUACUCGCUGUUUGCGAUACACGGUAAGCGGCCAAGCGAAAGCGUUAAGUAUUCCACCUGGGGAGUACGCCGGCAACGGUGAAACUCAAAUGAAUUGACGGGG